GCACGGGUGCGUAACACGUGAGAAUCAACCUAAAAGUGGGGGAUAGCUCGCCGAAAGGCGAAUUAAUACCGCAUGUGAAGGUAACUUUAAAGCUGGGGCUCCUUCGGGACCUGGCGCUUUUAGACGAGCUCGCGGCCUAUCAGCUUGUUGGUGAGGUAAUGGCUCACCAAGGCUCUGACGGGUAGCUGGUCUGAGAGGACGAUCAGCCACACUGGAACUGAGACACGGUCCAGACACCUACGGGUGGCAGCAGUCGAGAAUCAUUCGCAGUGGGGGAAACCCUGACGGUGCGACGCCGCGUGGAGGACGAAGGCUCUAGGGUCGUAAACUCCUGUCGCCACAGAACAAGGUUAGCGGAUUAAUACCCCGCUGAUUUGAUGGUAUGUGGAGAGGAAGCCACGGCUAACUCUGUGCCAGCAGCCGCGGUAAUACAGAGGUGGCAAGCGUUGUUCGGAUUUACUGGGCGUAAAGCGUGCGUAGGGGGCCGGCAAAGUCUGAUGUGAAAUCUCACCGCUUACCGGUGAAACUGCAUUGGAUACUGGUCGGCUCGAGGAUCGGAGGGGAGAGCGGAAUUCCAGGUGUAGCGGUGAAAUGCGUAGAUAUCUGGAGGAACACCGGCGGCGAAGGCGGCUCUCUGGAAGAUUCCUGACCCUGAGGCACGAAGGCCGGGGGAGCGAACGGGAUUAGAUACCCCGGUAGUCCUGGCAGUAAACGUUGCUCACUAGGUGUUGGUGGAUUCGACCCCAUCAGUGCCGUAGCUAACGCGUUAAGUGAGCCGCCUGGGGAGUACGGUCGCAAGAUUAAAACUCAAAGAAAUUGACGGGGCCCCGCACAAGCGGUGGAGUAUGUGGCUUAAUUCGAUGCAACGCGAAGAACCUUACCUGGGCUUGACAUGCUUAGUUCAUCCGUGGAAACACGGUGGGUCGCAAGACCGAUUUGCACAGGUGCUGCAUGGCUGUCGUCAGCUCGUGUCGUGAGCUGUU
rnacentral:rRNA from 1 species